rnacentral:rRNA from 1 species
UACGGAGGGUGCGAGCGUUGUCCGGAAUCACUGGGUGUAAAGGGAGCGUAGGCGGGGAGCCAAGUUGGAUGUGAAAUACCGCAGCUUAACUGCGGGGCUGCAUCCAAAACUGGUUCUCUUGAGUGAAGUAGAGGUAGGCGGAAUUCCUAGUGUAGCGGUGAAAUGCGUAGAUAUUAGGAGGAACACCAGUGGCGAAGGCGGCCUACUGGGCUUUAACUGACGCUGAGGCUCGAAAGCGUGGGGAGCAAACAGG